GGAGGAUCGAUUCUUUUGCUCCAGAGAUCAUCGGAUAUCGCGCCAAUUGACUCGUCGCUGUAACCGCGAAGAGAGAUGGUCAUCAAAAACGAAUUAAGAUGGCGUUAGGAGUUAUCGCGAAGGAUUUCCGACGUAUUUGCUGCUAUCGAGAAAAGUGAGCAAGAAAUUUAGUAACGCGAUAGAUUCAAUUUGCUGUCGUAGACGCCAGUGUUGCGUUCCUAAAUAGCGGACAAUAUUUUAAAAUGUAAUUAUAAUGUGGACCGACAUAAUCUAUCCCUAGUUGUGUCGAUAAAGUUUCGCGGGAACAAAACUGGGACACAUUGUAUUUUAUAGUAGCAUUUUAUGCCUCGUACGAGCUCCGAGGAAGUGUUGGCGAUGUUAACGAGCUACUUAUAGAACACACUACGUGAUAACUUAAUUUCUUCGUAGUUUAAUAACAAUCAAGUAAAUUAACCAAUUAUUAAUUAGAUCGUAUUUUGUAUAUUGCUUCAUAUUUUGUAGUUUCGUACUGUUGACGGCGAUAAGGUCUCACGUGUUACCACGCGAAGAAAAACGACUUGAAAAUAUCGAAUUGAAAAUUAAAUUGAACACGAGUAAGCUGUGGAACGUAUACGAAGGUAAUACAAUUGUUUGUUUGAUCGCGUACAUGAUGAUAAGUGGGAUUUUAAUUUAGCAGGUGUCAGUGGGAAUAGUUUUGGAAAAUUUAUUUGACAUCUGGACACGGAUUGUCUAUCAAUUUCGAGCAAUGUUCGAAGUUAAAAAAAAAGUGUAAAAAUUUGUAGAAGAAUCGUUUCGAAUUUGUAUGAUAUAUAAUAUUUAUUUUAAACUUCGAUGUACAUUGAGAAUCUUCGCGUAACGUGAUAUGAACACAAAUAAAAUAAUGCUCGUGUCGCACGAAACGUUUAAUGGGUACAGAUUCUUUGAAAUUUUUAAAGAUCAUCUGUAUUUUAAUCCAUAUUAAUACGUUGAUCGAUGUAUUCAUCUAUUGCUCGCUCAUUAACGUAAUUUAAAAUUCUAUCACAUCGAAUCGCUUUCUGUUUAAUUUUUAAAAUUUGAUUCAUGCCCAAGUUGCACGUCUUACAACGUUAAACAUAACCUUAAAACAGCCUGUAAACAAUAUAAAGAGGCUAUAGAUUAAAAUAAAAUACUAGAAACAUUGACAGAGAUUUUCAGACAAUUUUGGAACGAAACGAAGAUACGAACAAAUGUCAAAUAUUUAAAUACGAGAAAAGAAAGCUUACUUUAAGCUUUAUUUUAAAUGAGCGACAAGAUUAUCGUACGCGACAACUUUAUUCGUAUGUCCAUAUCGGGUCCCAUGAGUCGAAGCUUAAAAUACAAUCACGCUUAUCUCGAAUCGAUUUACAGGAUAGGAAAUCUUCCAAUCGUUGAAAUCGAAGCUUAGCUUAUAACGAAUCCUGGAAAUUGAAUACCACAGCGAUAACAACGCUCGAACAUCCUAUUUAUCUCACAGCGGAAGCUUAAACGUUAGUGAGAAAAGAAAAAAAAAAAAAAAGAAAAAACGCAAUUGCGAUGAGAAAAGCCGAUGUAACGUUGGUCAGGGAUAAUCGUCCAUCGAUUACUGACAAAUUCAUGAAUAUAAUACAUUUUAAAACACAUUUCGUUCCCUCUGCUUUUCUUUCGUUUCUUCUUAAAAUUAUUCGAAGCAUGUUGUUAUGUAGAGUAACAAUUCGCAAGAACAACAAUUUAUCAGUCGUUGCUUUCGGUCUCGUAAAUGUUAUUCGUUUCGAUUUUUACGCUUAUACGUAGUGGAUCGUGUAUAAUAAGUCCGCCUAGCUUUCGUCGCUGUAUAGUUUCAAGGAUCGCUAGAGAAAUUUUAUUUAUGGUAGCGGACAAACGUACGGGAAGAAGAAGCGCUAGAACGUCGAAGAAUUUAUAACACUCGAUUUUCUUGCAUUUAGGAAUAAAUUGAAAAUGUAUGUAAAUAAAAUGGUAUAAUUAUGGUUGGGUAAUAUUGAUAAUUGUAACGAAGUAAUUGUAAGGACUAUUCCAACGAAUAAAUAAUUAGGCUUUGUUAGGAUUUACGAUUUGUUUUCGAAUAAGCUUAUUCAAUUAUUAUUAAUUAUUAUAAGCGUUAGCCCUUUUUUCUACGACUUUUGUUUCCCAUUUCUUUUUCCAUCAAAUUGUUUUCAACUGGAAGAAGGGAAUUUCACUUUUAUGUGGUUUAUACAAUGAACGUUACAUAAGAACGCGGAAAAUCAUAUGAGACAGAAAAUUUUGUAAACAAUAAAAGAUUACAGGGAAGACACGAUAAGACUGUAGAUACUUUGAUGAAUUUUUUUUAAAAAGUCUAAUAGCAUUUUACGAUUGCAAACGAACGUCUUGGUACGAUUUAAUAUAUUGAUAUUCUAACUUUUCGAUACAAACCAAAGGAAACUGAUUUUCCCUGGGAUUCUAGCGAUCGAUGGAUCUGUGCUCCGCUUUGGAACACGUAGCUUCGUUUAUUUU